rnacentral:rRNA from 1 species
AUGCCAGACUCCUACGGGAGGCAGCAGUGGGGAAUAUUGCACAAUGGGGGGAACCCUGAUGCAGCGACGCCGCGUGGGUGAAGGAGCACCUCGGUGCGUAAAGCCCUAUCGGCAGGGAAGAAACAGAAGGUAACUGACUAAGAAGCCCCGGCUAACUACGUGCCAGCAGCCGCGGUAAUACGUAGGGGGCAAACGUUAUCCGGAUUCACUGGGGGGAAAGGGAGCGUAGAAGGCAGCGCAAGCCAGGAGUGAAAGCCCGGGGCCCAACCCCGGGACUGCUCUUGGAACUGCGCGGCUGGAGUGCAGGAGGGGCAGGCGGAAUUCCUGGUGUAGCGGUGAAAUGCGUAGAUAUCAGGAGGAACACCGGUGGCGAAGGCGGCCUGCUGGACUGCGACUGACGUUGAGGCCCGAAAGCGUGGGGAGCAAACAGGAUUAGAUACCCCGGUA